AUUGAACGCUUGCGGCAGGCCUCACACAUGAAAGUCGAACGAGUGGCGGACGGGUGAGUAAUGUCUGGGAAACUGCCUGAUGGAGGGGGAUAACUCCUGGAAACGGUAGCUAAUACCGCAUACCAUCGGAUGUGCCCAUAUGGGAUUAGCUAGUAGGUGGGGUACAGGCUCACCUAGGCGACGAUCCCUAGCUGGUCUGAGAGGAGGACCAGCCACACUGGAACUGAGACACGGUCCAGACGCCUACGGGAGGCAGCAGUGGGGAAUAGUGCACAAUGGGCGCAAGCCUGAUGCAGCCAUGCCGCUUGUAUGAAGAAGGCCUUCGGGUUGUAAAGUACUUGCAGCGGGGAGGCGUUACCCGAAGAAGAAGCACCGGCUAACUCCGUGCCAGCAGCCGCGGUAAUAC
rnacentral:rRNA from 1 species